UUGAACGCUGGCGGCAUGCCUUACACAUGCAAGUCGAACGGCAGCACGGGUGCUUGCACCUGGUGGCGAGUGGCGAACGGGUGAGUAAUACAUCGGAACAUGUCCUGUAGUGGGGGAUAGCCCGGCGAAAGCCGGAUUAAUACCGCAUACGAUCUACGGAUGAACGCGGGGGACCUUCGGGCCUCGCGCUAUAGGGUUGGCCGAUGGCUGAUUAGCUAGUUGGUGGGGUAAAGGCCUACCAAGGCGACGAUCAGUAGCUGGUCUGAGAGGACGACCAGCCACACUGGGACUGAGACACGGCCCAGACUCCUACGGGAGGCAGCAGUGGGGAAUUUUGGACAAUGGGCGAAAGCCUGAUCCAGCAAUGCCGCGUGUGUGAAGAAGGCCUUCGGGUUGUAAAGCACUUUUGUCCGGAAAGAAAUCCUUGGCCCUAAUACGGUCGGGGGAUGACGGUACCGGAAGAAUAAGCACCGGCUAACUACGUG
rnacentral:rRNA from 1 species